UCCUUCAGCUGCUUCGAACUGAUGAGAGCACUCCACCCCCUUCUCACCAGCUGCCUGGACCCACCCCCAUUUUACAGGUCCUCUGAUCAGCUGGGAAGUGGCACACUCCAUUGUACCUGCGAUGUGGGAGUAGGCAGCACAAGGGCUUCUGGCUCAGUGAAUCAUUCAGGAGACUGUGCUGUGAAUGGAAGCUGAAGAAGUUGCUGCUACUCCUGUGGAAGAGCUACCUUCCGAAGAGAAGCAAAGGGGAUGGAACAGCUCAAGCACUGACAUCAGCAAGAGUACUAGAAAGAAAUCAGAAACAUUUGCUUUUGUAUGAUCAGAUAGGAAUAGCAUAAGGUUGAACGAUUAAGAAGUACGAGUCUCCAAGACAUCAUAUGAAAAUCAGUAUAAAUUAUGAAAUAAUAAUCAAUGUCUAGAAUUGCUGGACAGGAUUGAAUAACUGCUUGCAACCUUUCUGCUUCUGGGAAGGUGCUUUAGGAAACAACAAACUGUUGAAAACAAAAUGAUUUCCUAACUUCUGCCAACUAAGGGCCACUCUGAAGUUUAGAAAAUGUGGUUUUUUAGUCUUUCCCAAAAGCUCCUAUCUAAAUCUUCACCGUUGCAAAUCAAUUCCUUCUCCUCAGACAUAAAAACAGACAAUCUGGACUUGUAUCCUAUUACAUUCUUGGCAUUAAUAUCUCUUAGUGGCUUGUUUUAUAGAACUCUUUGCUGGGAAGGCAGCAGGGAGAGAAAUAACUCUGUAGUUUUUAUAAAUUUAGGACUGGUCUGCUUUGGCUCUGUCUGUCCAGCAACCAAAUAGCCUAACGUCAAGCCAGAUUGUCUGUGAAAAAGUUUCCUGUAGCUCCAGAAAGCAGCCAGAUCCCAACUCUUCCAGCAUCAGACAUCAGUAGAAGCCUCUUUGUGCCAACUGCCUGAAUGCCCCAGGACACAGUCAAGGGAUAUGGGGAACAGAUCUGUCACUUGGUUCAGUGCUCUGGCACUGGUGCCUGAAGGUGAACGUUCCCUACUGGCACUGUUAGUCACUAGAAGUACCACUAGCCUCAGCAGCUUCCAUGUUAAAUGUGUAUCUGCCUUUGCAUGAAGAUGCCUGCCUCAGCAUGUGGGUGGAAGAAGAGAUCCAACUUCAUUUCUCUUCUCUGAAGGAAAAGUAGCUGCAGUGUUACUAUAUAGUGUAGUGACGUCAGUGCCUGUCAACCUGGGGCUUGAGAAAAAGCUUCUGGAUAUUUUUACUUGAGUGUUUGGGAUUAGGUAGCUUGCUUGGAGAAGUCAGUUUUCUUGAAGGCUCCAUUGGUAACAGAGAAAAUGCAGGAACUUUUUUCUUUUUAAAUUCCUUCAAAAUAAUAAUUAAAAAAACCCCAAACAUUUAUUAAAAAACAACAACAACAAAACAAUGAACAACAAUUUUGACUACUUUGGCACCCACAUUUUCAUGCAGUGCCAUUGUUGCAAGUGUAGAUCUCCACUCAUCUCUCUUAGAGAAUGAAUACAGCAGCACAAGGAUGCUGCGUGUUUGCAGAGGACUUGGAAGAGCACCUCACUUCAAAACUACCCAGGCAGGAACCAGCUGAACAAGAGCCAGGGUAGCAAAUCCUUUGGCAAUGGGGAGGGAAGCGUCACUUGGUAAUGUCAUUGCUUUUUAAAGGAUGCUGUCUAUCUUCUGGUCGUCUAGUGGAGUGGUUGUAGUUGAGGACCCUUAUCUAUAUCAGAAAGACACCUGGCAGCCUGCAAAAAAUGAUUAUGAAGGAUACAAACACAGCAGUAUACACUGGGCUGUGAUUAAAGGUUGAAGAGACCAUAAGACAUAAAAUGUUCACAAAGCUCUGUGCCUCAUUACCUGGGACCACUCAUUUGUCUUGGGCUAGAAACAGCCAAGAGAAAACCAAGGCCUUGUAAUACUGACAGAAGUUUGAUGGCCAAACCUGGGCCAUGCAUAAGUUGAGAUUGCUUACACUGCCAGUCAUGAAGAGGGUGUCUCAGAUAAGAUUUGUAGGAGGUUGUGAGCUGCCUGAGUGCUUUUGGAAUGGGUAUAAAUGCAAGAGAGUGUUGGUCGUGAUGAAAAUCAAAACAAGAUUUAGAAAACAAUCUUUAGAAAACAAGCAACCUUCAUUCCAGUGAAUUAUGUCAGAAGGAAAACAGAGACAUUUUUCUGUGGCUCACUGGAAAGAGGGUGGCUGCUGGCCCUUACAUCCAGGUCAGAGUGUGUCAUAUAGAUGAAUGUGCACAAACCAGUUUAUUUUUAAAUGUACAGUCUUCUCUCUGUAAAAGACAAUAACCUGGUUUUGCUUGCUUGUUUGUUUUUGUAAACUGCUGACAGUUCAGAAGAAUUUGAUGAGUACUCUGCAAACUGAGCCUCAGUUUCCCUGUUUUGAAAUGUUUUGUUCCUAAUUGGAGGUGCAAUGAAAUUCAAGUUGCAUUGUCCUUGUUGUCAGCAAUCUACUGUAUCCAAGGAAGGAUGCAAAGAAUUUGGCUAUCUAGGAAACCUGAAGUGCUGUGACAACAACUAAGACUAAUCAGGUUCUCUGACAUAAUUUUGGUUACGCACACUGUGUAGAUUACUCCAGCUUCACUCACUUAGCAACAACAACUAACAAAAGGUUCAGGUGAUCUUUAAAACAAA